rnacentral:rRNA from 1 species
UCUGGGAUGUAAACUGACCGGAGUACUAUGAAUAUUGUAAAUUUAAAACUCAAAGAACUUGGCGGUGUUUUAGACCAUUUAGGGGAACCUGUCUCGUAAUCGACAAUCCACGUUAUACCUGACCUUUCUUUGUUUUUCAGUAUGUAUACCGUUGUCGUCAGGUAACUUUUUAGAGAAUGGGAGUUGGCUAGAUAAAUAUAAUUUAGUACGUCAAAUCAAGGUGCAGCUAAUAGAAAGGGGAGGAUGGGUUACAGUUAUAAGUUGUAAGUACGAAAGGCGGACUUAAAAGUAAAUUAGAUAAGGAUAGUUUGAAUAAGGCUCUGAAACGUGU